rnacentral:tRNA from 1 species
GCGCGCAUAGCUCAGGUGGUUAGAGCGUCACAGUGACAUUGUGGAGGUCCCAGGUUCGAGUCCUGGUGCGCGCA